CCUACGGGCGGCAGCAGUGGGGAAUAUUGGACAAUGGGCGAAAGCCUGAUCCAGCCAUGCCGCGUGUGUGAAGAAGGCCUUCGGGUUGUAAAGCACUUUCAGUGGGGAAGAAAGCCUUGGGUCUAAUACCCUCGAGGAAGGACAUCACCCACAGAAGAAGCACCGGCUAACUCCGUGCCAGCAGCCGCGGUAAUACGGAGGGUGCGAGCGUUAAUCGGAAUUACUGGGCGUAAAGCGCGCGUAGGCGGUCUGAUAAGCCGGUUGUGAAAGCCCCGGGCUCAACCUGGGAACGGCAUCCGGAACUGUCAGGCUAGAGUGCAGGAGAGGAAGGUAGAAUUCCCGGUGUAGCGGUGAAAUGCGUAGAGAUCGGGAGGAAUACCAGUGGCGAAGGCGGCCUUCUGGACUGACACUGACGCUGAGGUGCGAAAGCGUGGGUAGCAAACAGGAUUAGAUACCCCAGUAGUC
rnacentral:rRNA from 1 species